UGCCUAAGUACAUGCAAGUCGAGCGAACUGAAGGGAGCUUGCUCCCGGAAGUUAGCGGCGGAGGGGUGAGUAACACGUGGGUAACCUGCCUGUAAGACUGGGAUAACUCCGGGAAACCGGAGCUAAUACCGGAUAUUUUCUUGAACCGCAUGGUUCAAGAAUGAAAGACGGUUUCGGCUGUCACUUACAGAUGGACCCGCGGCGCAUUAGCUAGUUGGUGAGGUAAUGGCUCACCAAGGCGACGAUGCGUAGCCGACCUGAGAGGGUGAUCGGCCACACUGGGACUGAGACACGGCCCAGACUCCUACGGGAGGCAGCAGUAGGGAAUCUUCCGCAAUGGACGAAAGUCUGACGGAGCAACGCCGCGUGAGUGAUGAAGGUUUUCGGAUCGUAAAGCUCUGUUGUUAGGGAAGAACAAGUACGAGAGUAACUGCUCGUACCUUGACGGUACCUAACCAGAAAGCCACGGCUAAAU
rnacentral:rRNA from 1 species